GUGGGGAAUAUUGGACAAUGGGCGAAAGCCUGAUCCAGCCAUGCCGCGUGUGUGAAGAAGGUCUUCGGAUUGUAAAGCACUUUAAGUUGGGAGGAAGGGCAGUAAGUUAAUACCUUGCUGUUUUGACGUUACCGACAGAAUAAGCACCGGCUAACUUCGUGCCAGCAGCCGCGGUAAUACGAAGGGUGCAAGCGUUAAUCGGAAUUACUGGGCGUAAAGCGCGCGUAGGUGGUUUUGUAAGUUGGCGGUGAAAUCCCCGUGCUCAACCUGGGAACUGCCUCCAAAACUGCAUGACUAGAGUACGGUAGAGGGUAGUGGAAUUUCCUGUGUAGCGGUGAAAUGCGUAGAUAUAGGAAGGAACACCAGUGGCGAAGGCGACUACCUGGACUGAUACUGACACUGAGGUGCGAAAGCGUGGGGAGCAAACAGGAUUAGAAACCCGUGUAGUCC
rnacentral:rRNA from 1 species